rnacentral:lncRNA from 1 species
UCCCAUUAAAACAUGAUAAAUCCAUCAGGUACUCAGACCCAUUAGAUUAACCUUUAUUUGGGUUGGAUUAUUCGGAUAUCUAAACCUAUUUAUAUAACCAAUGAUUAGACUUCUUGAAGGCAUGGAGCUCAAAUCCUCUCACCAAAAAAAUUCAGAAUAGAAAACAAAAUAGGGGCCGAAGCCUCUAUUUCAAUCAAGACCUCCCUCCAUCUUUCCGGUGGAUUCAAUAGUGGCACAACUACCUCAGCAGCC